AUUGAACGCUGGCGGCAGGCCUAACACAUGCAAGUCGAACGGUAACAGGAAGCAGCUUGCUGCUUUGCUGACGAGUGGCGGACGGGUGAGUAAUGUCUGGGAAACUGCCUGAUGGAGGGGGAUAACUACUGGAAACGGUAGCUAAUACCGCAUAACGUCGCAAGACCAAAGAGGGGGACCUUCGGGCCUCUUGCCAUCAGAUGUGCCCAGAUGGGAUUAGCUAGUAGGUGGGGUAACGGCUCACCUAGGCGACGAUCCCUAGCUGGUCUGAGAGGAUGACCAGCCACACUGGAACUGAGACACGGUCCAGACUCCUACGGGAGGCAGCAGUGGGGAAUAUUGCACAAUGGGCGCAAGCCUGAUGCAGCCAUGCCGCGUGUAUGAAGAAGGCCUUCGGGUUGUAAAGUACUUUCAGCGGGGAGGAAGGCGAUGUGGUUAAUAACCGCGUCGAUUGACGUUACCCGCAGAAGAAGCACCGGCUAACUCCGUG
rnacentral:rRNA from 1 species